AAACUUUCAACAACGGAUCUCUUGGUUCUCGCAUCGAUGAAGAACGCAGCGAAAUGCGAUAAGUAAUAUGAAUUGCAGAUUUUCGUGAAUCAUCGAAUCUUUGAACGCACUUUGCGCCCUCUGGUAUUCCAGAGGGCAUGCCUGUUUGAGCGUCAUUU
rnacentral:rRNA from 1 species